rnacentral:rRNA from 1 species
AGCGAACGCUGGCGGCAGGCCUAACACAUGCAAGUCGAACGAACUCUUCGGAGUUAGUGGCGGACGGGUGAGUAACACGUGGGAACGUGCCUUUUGGUUCGGAAUAACUCAGGGAAACUUGUGCUAAUACCGAAUGUGCCCUUCGGGGGAAAGAUUUAUCGCCAUUAGAGCGGCCCGCGUCUGAUUAGCUAGUUGGUGAGGUAACGGCUCACCAAGGCGACGAUCAGUAGCUGGUCUGAGGGGAUGACCAGCCACACUGGGACUGAGACACGGCCCAGACUCCUACGGGAGGCAGCAGUGGGGAAUCUUGCGCAAUGGGCGAAAGCCUGACGCAGCCAUGCCGCGUGAAUGAUGAAGGUCUUAGGAUUGUAAAAUUCUUUCACCGGGGACGAUAAUGACGGUACCCGGAGAAGAAGCCCCGGCUAACUUCGUG